rnacentral:rRNA from 1 species
ACAGCAGCAGCCGCGGUAAUACGAAGGGGGCUAGCGUUGUUCGGAAUUACUGGGCGUAAAGGGCGCGUAGGCGGCCAUUCAAGUUAGAUGUGAAAGCCCUGGGCUCAACCUAGGAAUUGCAUUUGAUACUGUUUGGCUUAAGUUCGGGAGAGGUGAGUGGAAUUCCCAGUGUAGAGGUGAAAUUCGUAGAUAUUGGGAAGAACACCAGUGGCGAAGGCGGCUCACUGGACCGACACUGACGCUGAGGCGCGAAAGCGUGGGGAGCAAACAGGAUUAGAUACCCCCGUAGUCCCUGUCUCUUAUAC